GAAGAGGAGGAGGAAAGGACCACCCGGCACGUCCUAGUGGUGGCUGCCUCCACUCCUCCAGCCCUUAGCCCAGGGCUGAUGUCAUCUGCAGCAAAUCAUUUCGCCGGCGGCCCGGAAGCUGGAAGGACGAGAUUGUUGGAUGAAAGAUGCAAGAUGUCAAUGAGAUGACUCAGUAGGAAAAAGAACUUGCUGCCAAGCCUGGGGACCUACUAAGUUCCAUCCCAGGACCCACCCAAUGAGAGGAGGGAGCAUACUACUGUGAAUUGUCCUGUGACCUCCACGCACAUUAGUUAGUUAAUUUUAACAAGUGCAAUAGAAGAAAGAGCUUCCUCACUGUGGCACUCUGUCCAAGAAAGCCACGACCAGGAUCCACCCCAUUCUUUGCCCAUCCUUUGCAAUCCAGAGAUAUUAUGGCAGAACACAGACUAGCAAUGGCUACUUUACAUGCAGUCAACUAACUUGACUCUUUUUAAUGUCCAGUCCCUUUGUGGAAGAAGUGGGAAGAACUGGAUCUUUGUGACUAUGUGAGGUAAGAGUAAAGAAUAGAGACUUCAGAAGCACUUACCCCAGGGUAGGGAUCAGCUUAAGCAUCAAGGCAUGGCUGAUUAAAUGAUACCCCCGCCCCCAUUUCCUUAGACAACGGAGUAAAAGUUAGCCUUACAAAAUGUACAGGUGACCCCUCUACCAACACCUCUGGGAAAAAAAUAAAAACAAAAUCCAACAUGGUCAGCCACUCUUCUAAGUUAGAGAAGUCCCCACUCCCGAGACAAAGGAGAUAGUUGUCAAGAGAAAGAAAAUGCCCCCACAAGGAAGCCUGCCUGUAUCACCAGCUAUUAGUGACUACACUUGAGUGUCCCAAAGGCUCUGCAAACUCAGUCGGCUCCAGGCCGGAAUCAUCUUCACCCUCUAGAUCUGAUCUCGCACAUCUGUUCCAUUGAACAGUAACACAUCUAUCCCACACCGCAAGGUGGAAACCGUGCACACAUCUGGAACCCUUCCCUGGACCUGGCUGAAAGUGCAGCCAGCGCUAUGUGGAGUCUGGUGAGUCGCACUUCCACCUUCUAGAUGUCUCCUCAACCAUCCACCUCUCUCCAUUAUCACAGCCCUAGUCCUCGCCAUGAUGAGAGGUUACAUAUAUAUAUAUGUUAAAAAAAUAGUUCUGGAGUAAACGUCUCCCUCAUCCAGGCAUGUUGGAGAUGAACUGGGGGCCUUUAGUCCCAACACUCAGGAGGUAGAGGCAGGUAGAUCUCUGAGUUCGAGGCCAGCCUGAUCUACAGAGUGAGUUCCAGGAUAGUCAUGGCUACACAGAGAAACCCUGUCUCAGAAAACAGAACAAAACAAAACAAAAAAGGAAUAUGAAAAUUCUAAUCUUAUAAUAUUUUAUUAUUUAUUUGACAGCAAGAAGAAUCCUUACCUUGUCAGUUGGUUAACCUAAGAUAUAGUUUAUGUAGCAAAGAAGGACAAAGGACAAAGGACUCUUUAUUUACUAAUUUUCAACAUUGUUCAUUCUAUACCAUUCUCCCAAAGCAACUGCUAUUCUUCUAGCAUUAAGAUCUACCGUAGAAGCCUGGGGAGGCUGCUUCCUAUGGCCAGGCAGGAACUCCAGGGGAGCAAUAAGGGCACCAAUCCACCCACAAAACUUUUGACCCAAUACUUGUCCUGUUUACAAGAAAUGCAAGAAUUGGAGAUGGAGCAGGGAAUGUCCAACCAAUAACCUGUCCAACUUGAGACCUGUCUCAUGGGCAAACACCAAAUCCCUGACACUAUUAAUGAUACUGUCAUGCUUGCUGACAGGAGUCUAGCAUGGCUGUCCUCUGAGAGUACCCACCCACUAACGGACUUAGACACAGGCAUACCCCACAGCCAAACAGAGGGUGGAGCUUGAGGACUGUUAUGGAAGAACAGAAGAAAGUAUUGCAGCCACAAAGGGGAUAGGAAAGUCCACAGGAAGACCAACAGAGUCAACUAACCUGGACCCUUGGGGCUCUCAAGGACUGAACCACCAACCAAAGACCAUACAUAGGCUGGACCUAGGCCUCCCUGUUCAUGUACAGCAGAUGUGGAGCUUGGUGUUCAUGUGGGUUCUGAACAACUAGAACAGGGCUGUCCCAAAAGCUGUUCCCUGACUGUGGGAUAUGUUCUUCUAGCUGGACUGCCUUGUCUGGCCUCAGUGGGAGUGGAAGUGCCUAAUCUUUCAGAGACUUGAAGUGCCAGGGUUGGGAGGAUUCCCAGGGUGGAACCCCAUUAGCUCAGAGGAGAAGAUGGGGGAGAGGGGAAGUAGGAAGAAUUAUGAGAGGGAGCGGCUAGGCAGUGAGCAGGAUGU
ensembl:lincRNA